rnacentral:misc_RNA from 1 species
AUCAACCAAAGAAUGCCUUUAAUAUAUGUUAAACUCUAUACCUAUCAGAUCUGUAGGGCACUCGCCUAUAUACACAAUUGCAUUGGUAUUUGUCACCGUGACAUCAAGCCUCAAAACUUACUGGUGAAUCCAAGCACGCAUCAACUGAAACUUUGUGAUUUUGGGAGUGCCAAAGUGCUGGUGAAAGGAGAACCCAAUGUCUCUUACAUCUGCUCAAGAUACUACCGUGCCCCAGAAUUGAUAUUUGGUGCUACUGAAUACACUACUGCCAUUGAUAUAUGGUCUACAGG